UGAGUACGGCGGAACACGUGAAAUUCCGUCGGAAUCCGGGAGGACCAUCUCCCAAGGCUAAAUACUCCCUAGUGACCGAUAGUGAACCAGUACCGUGAGGGAAAGGUGAAAAGCACCCCGGAAGGGGAGUGAAACAGUUCCUGAAACCGUGUGCCUACAAGUAGUUAGAGCCCGUUAAUGGGUGAUAGCGUGCCUUUUGUAGAAUGAACCGGCGAGUUACGAUUUGUUGCAAGGUUAAGCGGAAAAAGCGGAGCCGUAGCGAAAGCGAGUCUGAAUAGGGCGCAUAAGUAACAGGUCGUAGACCCGAAACCAGGUGAUCUACCCAUGUCCAGGAUGAAGGUAAGGUAAUACUUACUGGAGGUCCGAACCCACGCACGUUGAAAAGUGCGGGGAUGAGGUGUGGGUAGCGGAGAAAUUCCAAUCGAACUUGGAGAUAGCUGGUUCUCUCCGAAAUAGCUUUAGGGCUAGCCUCGAGGUAAAGAGUCAUGGAGGUAGAGCACUGUUUGGACUAGGGGCCCUUCUCGGGUUACCGAAUUCAGAUAAACUCCGAAUGCCAUGUACUUAUACUCGGGAGUCAGACUGCGAGUGAUAAGAUCCGUAGUCGAAAGGGAAACAGCCCAGACCACCAGUUAAGGUCCCCAAAUAUAUGUUAAGUGGAAAAGGAUGUGGGGUUGCUUAGACAACCAGGAUGUUGGCUUAGAAGCAGCCACCAUUGAAAGAGUGCGUAAUAGCUCACUGGUCGAGUGACCCCGCGCCGAAAAUGUACCGGGGCUAAACAUAUUACCGAAACUGUGGAUGAACCUCUUCGGAGGUUCGUGGUAGGAGAGCGUUCUAAGGGCGGUGAAGUCAGACCGGAAGGACUGGUGGAGCGCUUAGAAGUGAGAAUGCCGGUAUGAGUAGCGAAAGAAGGGUGAGAAUCCCUUCCACCGAAUAUCUAAGGUUUCCUGAGGAAGGCUCGUCCGCUCAGGGUUAGUCGGGACCUAAGCCGAGGCCGAUAGGCGUAGGCGAUGGACAACAGGUAGAGAUUCCUGUACCAGUGCUAAUUGUUUAACCGAUGGGGUGACACAGAAGGAUAGGGAAUCGCACGAAUGGAAAUGUGCGUCCAAGCAGUGAGUGUGAGAAGUAGGCAAAUCCGCUUCUCGCGAAGCAUGAGCUGUGAUGGGGAAGGAAAUUAAGUACGGAAGUUCCUGAUUUCACGCUGUCAAGAAAAGCCUCUAGGAAGAGUAGUACUGCCCGUACCGCAAACCGACACAGGUAGAUGAGGAGAGAAUCCUAAGGUGAGCGAGAGAACUCUCGUUAAGGAACUCGGCAAAAUGACCCCGUAACUUCGGGAGAAGGGGUGCUCUAUUAGGGUGCAAGCCCGAGAGAGCCGCAGUGAAUAGGCCCAGGCGACUGUUUAGCAAAAACACAGGUCUCUGCAAAACCGUAAGGUGACGUAUAGGGGCUGACGCCUGCCCGGUGCUGGAAGGUUAAGAGGAGUGCUUAGCUUCGGCGAAGGUACGAAUUGAAGCCCCAGUAAACGGCGGCCGUAACUAUAACGGUCCUAAGGUAGCGAAAUUCCUUGUCGGGUAAGUUCCGACCCGCACGAAAGGCGCAACGAUCUGGGCACUGUCUCAACGAGAGACUCGGUGAAAUUAUAGUACCUGUGAAGAUGCAGGUUACCCGCGACAGGACGGAAAGACCCCGUGGAGCUUUACUGCAACCUGAUAUGGAAUGUUUGUACCGCUUGUACAGGAUAGGUAGGAGCCGAAGAGACGUGUGCGCUAGCAUACGAGGAGGCAAUGGUGGGAUACUACCCUG
rnacentral:rRNA from 1 species